rnacentral:rRNA from 1 species
UACGGAGGGUGCGAGCGUUGUCCGGAAUCACUGGGCGUAAAGGGCGCGUAGGCGGCCUGAUAAGUAGGGGGUGAAAUCUUGCGGCUUAACCGCAAGGCUGCCUUCUAAACUGUCAGGCUAGAGCACAGUAGAGACAGGUGGAAUUCCCGGUGUAGCGGUGGAAUGCGUAGAGAUCGGGAAGAACAUCAGUGGCGAAGGCGGCCUGCUGGGCUGUUGCUGACGCUGAGGCGCGACAGCGUGGGGAGCAAACAGG